CUAAGAAUAUUCCGCAAUGGACGGAAGUCUGACGGAGCGACGCCGCGUGGAUGACGAAGGCCGAAAGGUUGUAAAGUUCUUUUGCUGGGGAAGAAUAACCGCAGGAGGGAAUGCCUGUGGGAUGACAAGAACCGGCGAAUAAGCCCCGGCCAACUACGUGCCAGCAGCCGCGGUAACACGUAGGGGGCGAGCGUUGUUCGGAAUUACUGGGCGUAAAGGGCAUGUAGGCGGCUUGGAAAGCCUGGCGUGAAAGUCUGCAGCUUAACUGCAGGGGUGCGCUGGGAACUGCUGAGCUUGAGUGACGGAGAGGGAGCUGGAAUUCCUGGUGUAGGGGUGAAAUCUGUAGAUAUCAGGAAGAACACCGAUGGCGAAGGCAAGCUCCUGGCCGAUGACUGACGCUGAGGUGCGAAAGUGUGGGGAUCAAACA
rnacentral:rRNA from 1 species